GGAUGCGAUCAUACCAGCACUAAAGCACCGGAUCCCAUCAGAACUCUGAAGUUAAGCGUGCUUGGGCGAGAGUAGUACUAGGAUGGGUGACCUCCUGUGAAGUCCUCGUGUUGCAUUCC
rnacentral:rRNA from 1 species